GACGAACGCUGGCGGCGUGCUUAACACAUGCAAGUCGAACGGUGAUGCUCCAGCUUGCUGGAGUGGAUCAGUGGCGAACGGGUGAGUAACACGUGAGCAACCUGCCCCAGACUCUGGAAUAAGCGCUAGAAACGGCGUCUAAUACUGGAUACGAAACUGGCCCGCAUGGGCAUGGUUUGGAAAGUUUUUCGGUUUGGGAUGGGCUCGCGGCCUAUCAGCUUGUUGGUGAGGUAAUGGCUCACCAAGGCGACGACGGGUAGCCGGCCUGAGAGGGCGACCGGCCACACUGGGACUGAGACACGGCCCAGACUCCUACGGGAGGCAGCAGUGGGGAAUAUUGCACAAUGGGCGAAAGCCUGAUGCAGCGACGCCGCGUGAGGGAUGACGGCCUUCGGGUUGUAAACCUCUUUCAGCAGGGAAGAAGCGAAAGUGACGGUACCUGCAGAAGAAGCACCGGCUAACUACGUG
rnacentral:rRNA from 1 species